CAGCCGCCGCGGGAAUACAGAGGGUGCGAGCGUUAAUCGGAUUUACUGGGCGUAAAGCGUGCGUAGGCGGCUUCUUAAGUCGGAUGUGAAAUCCCUGAGCUUAACUUAGGAAUUGCAUUCGAUACUGGGAAGUUAGAGUAUGGGAGAGGAUGGUAGAAUUCCAGGUGUAGCGGUGAAAUGCGUAGAGAUCUGGAGGAAUACCGAUGGCGAAGGCAGCCAUCUGGCCUAAUACUGACGCUGAGGUACGAAAGCAUGGGGAGCAAACAGGAUUAGAUACCCCCGUAGUCCCUGUCUCUUAUAC
rnacentral:rRNA from 1 species